UCCAGUCGCGGAUACGGCGUGCGAUGGU
rnacentral:sRNA from 1 species